CUGGAUGGCUCAAUGGGUAGAGCAAUCGGCUGAUAACCGAUCGGUCGCGGGUUCGACUCCCGCUCCAAACCA
rnacentral:tRNA from 1 species